rnacentral:rRNA from 1 species
UACGAAGGGGGCUAGCGUUGCUCGGAAUCACUGGGCUUAAAGGGCGCGUAGGCGGCGUGCGAGGUCGGGGGUGAAAUCCCACAGCUUAACUGUGGAAGAGCCUUCGAUACCGGCGCGCUGGAGGAAGGUAGGGGUGCGCGGAACUUCUGGUGGAGCGGUGAAAUGCGUUGAUAUCAGGAGGAACACCGGUGGCGAAGGCGGAUCUCUGGGCCAUUACUGACGCUGAGGAGCGAAAGCGUGGGGAGCGAACAGG